rnacentral:rRNA from 1 species
UACGAAGGGGGGCUAGCGUUGUUCGGAAUUACUGGGCGUAAAGCGCACGUAGGCGGAUUUGUAAGUCGGGGGUGAAAUCCCGAGGCUCAACCUCGGAACUGCCUUCGAUACUGCGGGUCUCGAGUCCGGGAGAGGUGAGUGGAAUUCCUAGUGUAGAGGUGAAAUUCGUAGAUAUUCGCAAGAACACCAAUUGCGAAGGCAGCUCACUACCGACUAUUGACUCUGAGGCACGAAAGCGUGGGGAUCAAACAGG